rnacentral:misc_RNA from 1 species
AACAAAUUUUUCAUUCAGAGUGAAAGAAGACAUGAGAUUCUGAAAUAAACUACAAAUGCUUCUGAAAUAAACUACAAAUGCCAACUUGGACGCUCCUAAUGUGUUUUUCUUCUUUAUACUCCUCUAACAUAUUUCAAAAUACAAGUGACCAAGUGUGACCAUUUACUUACCAAGACAAAAAAGGACAAAAGAUAGAAGUAAAAACAAAAGUAAACAAUAAAGAUGAUUUUAAGAGGACAUCUUAUACUUCAUGCUGUAUUUUCUACAAAGGCAAGCCUUGGCACCGUGGUAAGGUUAACCUUUGUGACUAGAAGGCCAUGGGUUUAAAUCAUGGAAACAGGAUCUCUGAAAAAAUAAUGCAACAGAGGCUGUGGUGCUGUGCACAAAAUAGAUAACCAUACCUUCCCCUAAUUGUCACAAAGCAGGGAAUCUAAUGCACUGGGUACGCCCCUCAAAAGACUUUUAAAAUAUAAAAAGAAACUAAAUAAUGGCCAUCUCGGGAAAAAAUGUUCCACCAAUCAAACAAGCAGAA